CCUGGCCCUAUAAGUGUUGCAGGUAUGGCUACUGUGUCACAUGUGCAUCAGUAGGUGGCAGAGAAGAGAGAGGCUAAUUCUUUUUUUUUUUUUCAAUUAUUUUUUCAUU
ensembl:snoRNA LOC120094002 small nucleolar RNA SNORA17